rnacentral:rRNA from 1 species
UGAGGAAUUUUCCGCAAUGAGCGAAAGCUUGACGGAGCAAUGCCGCGUGGAGGAAGAAAGCCUAUGGGUUGUAAACUCCUUUUCUCGGAGAAGAAUACUGACGGUAUCCGAGGAAUAAGCAUCGGCAAAAUCUGUGCCAGCAGCCGCGGUAAGACAGGUGAUGCAAGUGUUAUCCGGAAUGAUUGGGCGUAAAGCGUCUGUAGGUGGUUUACCAAGUCUGUUGUUAAAACUCAGGGCUUAACCCUGAUCCGGCAAUAGAAACUAGUAGGCUAGAGUACGGUAGGGGCAGAGGGAAUUUUCGGUGUAGUGGUGAAAUACGUAGAUAUCGAGAAGAACACCAAUAGCGAAAGCACUCUGCUGGGCCGAAACUGACAUUGAGAGACGAAAGCUAGGGGAGCGAAAGG